rnacentral:tRNA from 1 species
GGCCAAGCCAGCAUGGUAUAUUGGUUUGAGUGUUGGACUAUGACUCUUGAGAUCAGGGUUCAAAUCCCUGCUUGGCCA